GCCGAGGAGCAUUAUGGUCUCUACUUGUGACGUCAGUAGUUCUUCCGGGACAGGAAACUGCUCGAUACUGCUGGGAGAGAAAACAAAGUUGAGAAGAAAUACACCCAGAGGGAAACUUACCACGCUUCUUCUUGUCAAAGCACCACAAAGCUCAACCGCAGGAUUAGGAGAUGUCACUUGGAGAUCUGGGAGAACCGCAGGACGGAGCUCCAGCAAUCUAAUAGAUUUUUCUAAAGAAAACCUUUGUGAGGAGCCAGUAGUGGCAAUAUCCUGAUUGGAACCUUAAUCCUUUGUUUUUUUUAGCCAUCAAGCAACUUUUGUGUUAUUAUAUUAAACGGGAUAACUGGGUUGACUCCCCAACUUUUAUUUUUUGUGCCUUUUCUGCUUGAAAGACCACAUUGCAUAUUGUACUUUAUAAGUAGAAACUUGUUUUAACGAAUAAUAAAGUAGUUUUCUGUG